GACGAACGCUGGCGGCGUGCCUAAUACAUGCAAGUAGGACGCACAGUUUAUACCGUAGCUUGCUACACCAUAGACUGUGAGUUGCGAACGGGUGAGUAACGCGUAGGUAACCUACCUAUUAGAGGGGGAUAACUAUUGGAAACGAUAGCUAAUACCGCAUAACAGUAUGUAACACAUGUUAGAUGCUUGAAAGAUGCAAUUGCAUCGCUAGUAGAUGGACCUGCGUUGUAUUAGCUAGUAGGUAGGGUAAAGGCCUACCUAGGCAACGAUACAUAGCCGACCUGAGAGGGUGAUCGGCCACACUGGGACUGAGACACGGCCCAGACUCCUACGGGAGGCAGCAGUAGGGAAUCUUCGGCAAUGGGGGGAACCCUGACCGAGCAACGCCGCGUGAGUGAAGAAGGUUUUCGGAUCGUAAAGCUCUGUUGUUAAGGAAGAACGAGUGUGAGAAUGGAAAGUUCAUGCUGUGA
rnacentral:rRNA from 1 species